AUACGGAGGGGGCUAGCGUUGUUCGGAAUUACUGGGCGUAAAGCGCGCGUAGGCGGACCAGUCAGUCAGGGGUGAAAUCCCGGGGCUCAACCCCGGAACUGCCUUUGAUACUGCUGGUCUUGAGUUCGCGAGAGGUGAGUGGAAUUCCGAGUGUAGAGGUGAAAUUCGUAGAUAUUCGGAGGAACACCAGUGGCGAAGGCGGCUCACUGGCUCGAUACUGACGCUGAGGUGCGAAAGCGUGGGGAGCAAACAGGAUUAGAAACCCCAGUAGUCC
rnacentral:rRNA from 1 species